UAGGGAAUCUUCGGCAAUGGGGGGAACCCUGACCGAGCAACGCCGCGUGAGUGAAGAAGGUUUUCGGAUCGUAAAGCUCUGUUGUUAAGGAAGAACGAGUGUGAGAAUGGAAAGUUCAUACUGUGACGGUACUUAACCAGAAAGGGACGGCUAACUACGUGCCAGCAGCCGCGGUAAUACGUAGGUCCCGAGCGUUGUCCGGAUUUAUUGGGCGUAAAGCGAGCGCAGGCGGUUAGAUAAGUCUGAAGUUAAAGGCAGUGGCUCAACCAUUGUAGGCUUUGGAAACUGUUUAACUUGAGUGCAGAAGGGGAGAGUGGAAUUCCAUGUGUAGCGGUGAAAUGCGUAGAUAUUAGGAGGAAUACCGGUGGCGAAGGCGACUUGCUGGACUUCAACUGACGCUGAGGAACGAAAGCGUGGGUAGCAAACAGG
rnacentral:rRNA from 1 species